CAAUCAGCUUCUUCUGCUGUGGCUUGCGGCAAAUGGCGGCAGUGUCGACGCACAAUUACCUUCUUUUAUUGUAAAUGAUCCACUCAACGGGUAAAAUAAUGAAACGGAACGGGGAGCUGCCAUGCAAGGCCCUAACCACCACCCAUCAGGAGCAAGGGUGAAGUGUCUUGCUCAAGGACACAACGGACGUGACGAGCGUUGCAACCCCUGCGAUGAGGUGGCGACUUGUCCAGGGUGUAUACCGCCUUCCGCCCAUGUGCAGCUGAGAUUGGCUCCAGCAACCCCCGCGACCCCGAACGGGACAAGCGGUAGAAAAUGGAUGGAUGGAUAGUUGCAACCCAGCAAUGUUUCUUGACAACAACCCAACCAUGCCGAAUAGAAAACCCUCUAAAGUUUUGUUCGUCUUUUCCGAAUGCGAUGCGGAUUACGCUGGCUGCAAUAUUUGUGAUGUAAAAAUCAAGGCAAGUGGCGGGAAUAUUAUUCCAAUCUAAAGCUAAAGAGUGCAGCUAAGUUAGAUGUACGACUCCUGCAUUUGGCACCUUCAGCGACUCCGACAACACGGGGGAAGAAAUGGGGGUUUUGCUUCACUUUUAUUUGUAGUUUAAUACUUUUGAGGAAAAAAAAGGUCUUUAUUUUUACUCCAUCCUCUUUUGCACGAUUGUUUUGAACUUAAUUGUCUCCGUGGACCUCCAUCACAUAUUUUCCAGAUGGAAAAAGAAAGGAAUACAUGAAUCCAGGUUUUAUUUUGUGCAAAUACUAAGAAAACAACACUGCAUUGUUGUAGUUUAGUGUUUUCACGUUGAAGAAAAUUUGCAAAACAUUUGCAAACAUGUUUCUAUACAAAUGUUUGGAUAUUGUUUUGAUAUAUUUGAUGAUGUACAUGUUACAUUUUAAACAGUGUAGCUCCUCUUCUCUAAA